rnacentral:rRNA from 1 species
UGGGGAAUAUUGGACAAUGGGCGAAAGCCUGAUCCAGCCAUGCCGCGUGUGUGAAGAAGGUCUUCGGAUUGUAAAGCACUUUAAGUUGGGAGGAAGGGCAUUAACCUAAUACGUUAGUGUUUUGACGUUACCGACAGAAUAAGCACCGGCUAACUCUGUGCCAGCAGCCGCGGUAAUACAGAGGGUGCAAGCGUUAAUCGGAAUUACUGGGCGUAAAGCGCGCGUAGGUGGUUUGUUAAGUUAGAUGUGAAAUCCCCGGGCUCAACCUGGGAACUGCAUUAAAAACUGACUGACUAGAGUAUGGUAGAGGGUGGUGGAAUUUCCUGUGUAGCGGUGAAAUGCGUAGAUAUAGGAAGGAACACCAGUGGCGAAGGCGACCACCUGGACUAAUACUGACACUGAGGUGCGAAAGCGUGGGGAGCAAACA